GCCUGUCGUCGCUUUCGAUCGUGUUCGCUUUGGCUCGGCACGCGAUUAUCUUUGGUUUGAAACGGGGCGGGACAAAGCGGAGGUGGGAAGUGGUUGGAUUAUGGUGGAGCAUUAGUUAAAUCGCGGCGCUGGUUAGUGGAGCGGAGUGGGGAGCCGCAGGCCGGGCCGGGCCGGGUCGAUCGCCACGGUGCGUGCGUGCGUGAGGCCUUUACAGCCUGGGCGGGCGGAGCAGUGGCAGUUACGGCCGCAGAGACCGACUUACCACGUGCCCCGCGUCGUGCUCCGUCGACUCGGUCGCCAGUCACCCGCCACCACGCCCCGCGACCCGGCCGCGCGCCCGUGCGGGGCAGGCAGCGGUGGCGUGGCAGGGAUCGCGCACCCGCAUGGUGCCGGUUUGGUGCCCAGCGACAGCGUCGUGCUAUGCAGCCUUCGUUCGUCGCAUGCGGUGGUCGGAGGCUUACCGUACGCGGCUUGGUACAGUAUUUGGUUGGGGGAAGGCCGGAAGGGCAAGUGCAGUGCGCGGCUUUCUGAGCGUGCCCGCGCAGCGCCUCCGUGAAAAGACCCUUGCUCCCUCAGUAAUCGCGACGUGACAAGCCAAGGCGAGCACGCACGUACGCUCACCAGACCAGAUGUUCAUGUCGGAUGCCGCCGAUGGUAGCACGUGUGUCGUAUGUGGAGCGUGUACAAUUAUCUGGCUGGAAGAAGAUGUUUGUGUGCGUGUGCGCGCGCGCUUUUUCCCUCGCGUGUGUGUUAAUUAACCAGCCCCCCACCUACGUCUCCGGCUCCAGCUCAUGGCCGCUCCGCGAAGCAAGAGCGACCGGACGGAACACGAACAAGGAUCCGAUCCCGCGUACUACGUAUCUGCUGGCUGCUGCCCGCCGUACUACGUGGCGCCAGCCGCUCUCCGACGAACACAAGAGGCGCUCUGCUACAGGGCGGGCAGACAAUGCGGUUGAUCUGUAUGCUUUCGUGUUUGUUGCUUUGUGUGAAAGGCGACCGUGCACGCAGGACCACCUACGUGCCCGCGCGCCUAGCUGACUAGCUAACUCGUGUUCAUGAUCCGCUGUGGUGCAAUUGUUGCGUUGCCUCGAUCCGGUCUCCUCUGGGCAGCCUCUAUGCUGCGUGCACGGCGCACCAAAAGGACCACUCCACACAAGCGUCGCGUAAUAAUUGUCACUGGUGAAUAUUAUGGGGCGGAUGGAUCAGCGUGUUCGUGCGCAUGCCGUGGUACUUGGCAGGUCGUGACUGACGCUUGAUCGUUUUGGAAUUUCCAACUGUGUGUCCACGGAUAGGACGAUAGGGAUAUUAUGAGCAGCCGAUUUCUGGAAUCUGGGUGCACCGGAACGAAAAAAUCACUCGCAUGAUUCACAUGUGUGUUUUAGAAAAUUAACGUGUAAUGUUCUAUAUAAGAAUAUGAUCGGUAGUGUCGUGGUAAUGAUAAUCCUACCCAUUGGUCUCGCCUAGUCCUACAUGGCAAGUCAAGGAAGUCUAAAUAAAUUGUCGUGAUCAACAAGUUAAAGGAGAAGAAGAUUUUAAAGACAAACUUGAAAAAUAACCCAAAUGAUAAGUGUCACACGCGUGACAUGAAGUAACUCCGCUCUGACGUUUUUUAUAGUAACGUUGCCAUCCAAAAAAAAUAAACCAAAAAAAACUGAAACUUGUCAUCCAAACAGAAAGUUGUCAUGCUUCACAGCUAAAGUUGUCAUCCUCAGGUAACUAAACUUUCCAUCGAAAAAUAUUUGGGCGGAAUUGUUUCGUGCAACACGUGUGACACUUAUCAGGGCCCAAAAAUAAACAACGGCAAAGGAGCACAAGUCUAGAAUACACUCAUUUAGGGCAUCUCCAACAGCUACCCUUAAACCACCUACAACCGUCCGAACCGCGCAGUCCGGGCAUGUAGUGCCAUCCAAUGCGGGCCUGUACCGGUCCGCAGGGCGGUUCAGAUGCACUUUCUCUCAUAAAACCGGACACAAACGUGGAAGGGCUUCGCGGGCGCCCGGACAGCACCCGCACCCGCUUCUGGCCAUUCUGGAACACCCAAACUCCUUCCUCCCUCGCCCGCGGGCAUUCCUGCCCGGUGCCAGCUGCCCGCAUUCAUGUAGGGAUCAAAACGAAGCGGAAACAAACGGAACUAAGUGCUACCACAUUUGUUUCCAUAUAUUUUUGUAGAAGCGGAAACGAAUACAGAAACCCCGAAAAUGAAUACGGAAACAAAUACUACCGGAAGCAGACACAUAAUGAAUACAAAACAGACAUGAAAAUGGAAGCGGGCGUGGAACUUAAAAACCCCUUAAAAUCCCCAAGCUGAGUACAUGUGUGGUAGUAGAAGUUUAAGGUCUACUUGUCACAGACGGGAUGCCUAUAUAAUGAUUAUGCCUUGGAUGAUCUUCAUAGCUGUGCGCAAUUCUGUCAAUUACCCAACAAUAAUUUGUUUACCCUUCGCUAUUAUGCUUUCGAGAGAGGUGCCUCUAGUGAACCUAUGGUCCCCGGGUCCAUUCUCUAUAUAUUUACAAGUUCCUACAAUAGCUAUCAAUUUACUAUUAUUAUUCUAGUUAUUGUCAUCCUUUGCUAUUUUUACUAUUAUUUGACCUUGUGGCUAGCAAGAACAAGGGGAGUGAUGGCCCCCUUGACUUUGUUGGGUGCAAGCAAAAAAAAAUUUGGUGCAGGUGUUGAUAACGUUUCUACGUGUGUUGCCUCCUACUGGUUUGUUAAACCUUGGUUCAUAAGUGAGGGAAAUACUUUUUGCUGUUGUGCUGCAUUGCCCUUCCUCUUCAGGAAAAUCCAACAACUCCUGCGGGAGUAGUAGUUACCAAAUAAAAUUGUUAAUGAAAAGACAUUCAUAAAAUUGUUAUAUUUGAUUGAAUAAUUGGGAAGAUUACAAAUCUAUUCAUUUCAUAUUUAUAAAAAGAUAUAUUGUAGUUACUAUCAUUAACCGACUGGCUUUUACUUCUUAUUUUUAAUUUUGAGAUGACAUUGCGUGGCAAUCUGGCAUGAAGAUAUCCCUUUUGUUACUUGCCUUGGUUUCUCUGUUCCCGAGUACCACUACCGCUGCAAGUGUGAUCCCAAGCAUUAGUUGCUCUGGUAGCAACUACACGGGAUGGAGGGCUUAGAUGGGGAAAUUAGCCUUCGCCCCCAACAAAUUUCUUCUAGCUCUGUGGUACACAUAAAGAGGGAGAAUACCGACACCUGGAAUUUCGGACCUGAAAAAGCUACGUCAGGCUACCUAUUCUGCACAAUUCCAAAUAAGUUGAAACUUUACGGGGGAUUUUUAUAGAAUAUAUAAGAAAUAUUGGAGCCAAUAAGUACCAGAGGGGGUCCACCAGGUGGGCACAACCCACCUGGGCGCGCCAGGGAGCCCAGGCGCGCCCUGGUGGGUUGUGCCCUCCUCGGCCCACCACCGGUGCCCCUCUUCUGGUAUAUAAGUCAUUUUGACA